GUUAAAAAGCUCGUAGUUGGAUUUCUGGGAUUUUCAGCCGGCCGGCUCUUAGGAGUUGUAGCUAGGUUUGCAAGUCUCAUCUUCUCACAAUUCUCGCUGGCCUUAACUGAUCGGCGUAGAGGACUGAGUCGUUUACUUUGAGAAAAUUAGAGUGUUCAAAGCAGGCUAUCGCCUUGAAUAUAUUAGCAUGGAAUAAUAAUAUAGGACUUUGGUUCUAUUUUGUUGGUUGUUCGAGGACCGAAGUAAUGAUUGAUAGGGACGGUUGGGGGCAUCAGUAUUCUGAAGCGAGAGGUGAAAUUCUUGGACCUUCGGAAGACUA
rnacentral:rRNA from 1 species